rnacentral:rRNA from 1 species
UGGGGAAUAUUGCACAAUGGGCGAAAGCCUGAUGCAGCAACGCCGCGUGCGGGAUGACGGCCUUCGGGUUGUAAACCGCUUUCAGCAGGGACGAAGGUUUUCUGACGGUACCUGCAGAAGAAGCACCGGCUAACUACGUGCCAGCAGCCGCGGUAAUACGUAGGGUGCGAGCGUUGUCCGGAAUUACUGGGCGUAAAGAGCUCGUAGGUGGUUUGUCGCGUUGUUCGUGAAAACUCACAACUCAAUUGUGGGCGUGCGGGCGAUACGGGCAGACUAGAGUACUGCAGGGGAGACUGGAAUUCCUGGUGUAGCGGUGGAAUGCGCAGAUAUCAGGAGGAACACCGGUGGCGAAGGCGGGUCUCUGGGCAGUAACUGACGCUGAGGAGCGAAAGCGUGGGGAGCGAACAGGAUUAGAUACCCUGGUAGUCCACGCCGUAAACGGUGGGUACUAGGUGUGGGUUCCUUCCUUGGGAUCCGUGCCGUAGCUAACGCAUUAAGUACCCCGCCUGGGGAGUACGGCCGCAAGGCUAAAACUCAAAUGAAUUGAC